rnacentral:rRNA from 1 species
UACGGAGGGUGCAAGCGUUAUCCGGAUUCACUGGGUUUAAAGCGCGUGUAGGCGGUUUCGUAAGUCGGAUGUGAAAGCCCUCGGCUCAACCGGGGAAGUGCACCCGAAACUACGGAACUAGAGUCUCGGAGAGGAUCGUGGAAUUCUCGGUGUAGAGGUGAAAUUCGUAGAUAUCGAGAGAAACACCGGUAGCGAAGGCGGCGAUCUGGACAAUGACUGACGCUGAGACGCGAAAGCGUGGGGAGCAAACAGG